rnacentral:lncRNA from 1 species
GCUGAUUCAUGUCGCUGCACUACCUUGCUUGAGGGCCUCUACUGGCUGCAGGCUUCGUGAGAAGAACCCUAGGAGACCUUCAAGCUACGAAAUGCAGGCUGAUUUGACAUGUUCCAUGCAACUCGUGACCUAGGUAGGGUGGCCGAAGACCUGCCUGUCUGCAGUGGGCUGAUUUGGCAUGUUCUGCGUGACUUGCAACCUCGGUAGGGCGUCUCCAGACCUCUAAAAUUUUUAUUUUUCUCUUUUUUCUUUCUUUUCUUUUCUCUUUUCUUUCUCUCUCUCUCUCUCACUCCCUUGCUGUCCCACAUUGUUCUUCAUCUCCCUUUGUGUUCCUGUUCUGGCCCUAAUUCAUAUUUCUUCUUUAUUUUUCUUUUUGUCUCUUUCCUUCUCUCACCUGUGUCCUCUGGUGUCACUGCUAACCUUCCCCUGUCUUUGUACCUAAUUAUUCCUCCCUCCCCAACUACUUCUAACUCCCCAUCCCAAAGGGUAAAUUUGCUGUAAUGAAGAGUUUAUUCAUUAUAAACAUAUGUUUGGUUGGUCCUUGUUUUUUUAUGUAAUUCACACAGUUAAAGAUGAUAGAUGAAUAACUACCACAGACUGGCAUUUUUAAGAGGUACUUGAUGCUCUUGUGUUGUGGAGUGUAUCACUUUGGCUAAGGUGUUUUGAUUGAUCUAAUCAAUUGUCCUUCCUGGUAUAAUGAAAAGGAGACAGCCUCAGAGCCAUUAGAGACUCAAAACCUAAAGACCAGCUAUAUCUGGAAGACACUUCUGAGAAACAAUCAUUCCAUAAGAGUUCUAAAUACAUCAACAAAGAUACUUACAAUAAGCAACUUCAAAGUAUCAAUCCAGAAACUAAACCAAGGACAGUGCCAAAAACAAAAAUGAGAAGACAUUUAAGCAAGGCACAAACUCAGACUUCCACCCCCCCCAAAGGGCAAAUUCUGGGAGAAACGAGGUGGAAAAGUCUGAUAAUCAACCACCUGGACACCCUGAAGUGAUAGCACAGGAAGUAACAAAAGAGAUGAAUGAGGCUCCAGAAAAAUUCAAAACAGAAAUAAUUUCCCAUAUAACUACAGAGAUGGUGAGCAGAGUGAAAGACAUGAUUAGAGGCUCUAGAACAGAAACAUAAAAAAAAUAGAGGCGCUCAGAAAUAUGUUGGAAGCCAUGAAUGCCCAGCAUAAGAAAGAAAUGGAAACCAUAAUCGCCCAAAAUAAGAAAGAAAUGGAAUCCAUGCCACAGAUUCAAAC